rnacentral:rRNA from 1 species
UAGGGAAUCUUCCACAAUGGACGAAAGUCUGAUGGAGCAACGCCGCGUGAGUGAAGAAGGGUUUCGGCUCGUAAAACUCUGUUGUUAAAGAAGAACAUAUCUGAGAGUAACUGUUCAGGUAUUGACGGUAUUUAACCAGAAAGCCACGGCUAAAUACGUGCCG